rnacentral:rRNA from 1 species
GUGCCAGCAGCCGCGGUAAUACGUAGGUGGCAAGCGUUAUCCGGAUUUAUUGGGCGUAAAGGGUGCGCAGGCGGUCUGUUAAGUUUGGUGUGAAAGCGUGGGGCUCAACCCCAUACAGCAUCGAAUACUGGCAGACUAGAGUGCAGAAGAGGGUAAUGGAACUCCAUGUGUAGCGGUAAAAUGCGUAGAUAUAUGGAAGAACACCAGCGGCGAAGGCGGUUACCUGGUCUGUAACUGACGCUCAGGCACGAAAGCGUGGGGAGCAAAUAGGAUUAGAUACCCUAGUAGUCCACGCCCUAAACGAUGAGUACUAGAUGUUGGAAUUUUCAGUGUCACAGCUAACGCAAUAAGUACUCCGCCUGAGGAGUAUGCACGCAAGUGUAAA